rnacentral:misc_RNA from 1 species
GAUGAAGAACGUAGCAAAAUGCGAUACUUGGUGUGAAUUGCAGAAUCCCGUGAACCAUCGAGUUUUUGAACGCAAGUUGCGCCCGAAGCCUUUUGGCCGAGGGCACGUCUGCCUGGGCGUCACGCAUCGCGUCGCCCCCCACAAUGCUCCGUAAAAGGAACAUGUGUUUUGGGGGCGGAUAUUGGUCUCCCGUGCUCAUGGCGUGGUUGGCCGAAAUAGGAGUCCUUUCGAUGGACGCACGAACUAGUGGUGGUCGUAAAAACCCUCGUCUUUUGUUUCGUGCUGUUGCUCGCAAAGUAAACUCUUUAAAAACCCCAAUGUGUCGUCUCUUGACGACGCUUCGACCGCGACCCCAGGUCAGGCGGGACUACCCGCUGAGUUUAAGCAUAUCAAUAAGCGGAGGA